rnacentral:rRNA from 1 species
YUYUUYUUGAAUAUAUUUUGAUGUAUGGCCUGCCCACUGAAUAUUGAAGGGCCGCGGUAUUUUGACCGUGCAAAGGUAGCAUAAUCAUUAGUCUUUUAAUUGUAGGCUGGAAUGAAUGGUUUGACGAGGUGUUAACUGUCUUUAUUUUUUUUUUGAACUUAAAUUUUAGGUUAAAAUGCCUAAAUGUUUUUUUGGGACGAGAAGACCCUAUAGAGUUUUAUAUAUUUUUAUUUUUUUUGUAUGAGAAUUUCUAAUGUAAAAAUUUAUUUUGUUGGGGUGAUGGAAAGAUUUAAUUAACUCUUUUUAUUUAUUUUAUAUUUAUUUAUAUGUAUUUGAUCCAUUUAUGUUGAUUAUAAGACUAAAUUACCUUAGGGAUAACAGCGUAAUUCUUUUUAAGAGUUCAUAUUGACAAAAGAUUUUGCGACCUCGAUGUUGGAUUAAGAUUAAUUUUUGGUGUAGGUGCUAUUAUAUUAGGUCUGUUCGACCUUUAAAAUCUUACA